AAAUCAUCGGGGUUUUGGUUUAAAACUGUUUCAUGUGAGUGAGCUGCUUCCCUCCAUCUGAGCAGUCCUGGGGGAGGUCACCUCUGAGAUUCCCGGAGCCGUAGUCCUCCUACCAGGGUGUUGUCACUGGGGGAAAGGAAGACUCAGCUCAGAGAGCUGACCAGCUCUCCAGCAAUCUUCAGAGACUUAGGCAUAUACAUAUUAAGCAAACAUGUGUUAAUAGUUGACACUUGUGGUUGCUGUUUGCGGGCACUGUUGGAAGCGCUUUACCGCGGAUUAACUCUUAGUCCUCACAGCAACCAUUUGAGGUA
rnacentral:lncRNA from 1 species